UACGGGGGGGGCAAGCGUUGUUCGGAAUUACUGGGCGUAAAGGGCUCGUAGGUGGCCAACUAAGUCAGACGUGAAAUCCCUCGGCUUAACCGGGGAACUGCGUCUGAUACUGGAUGGCUUGAGAUUGGGAGAGGAAUGCGGAAUUCCAGGUGUAGCGGUGAAAUGCGUAGAUAUCUGGAGGAACACCGGUGGCGAAGGCGGCUUGCCAGAAUGCGCUCGACGGUGAGGGAUGAAAGCUGGGGGAGCAAACCGG
rnacentral:rRNA from 1 species